UGUGUGACGUAAACACGCCUAAGUCAUGUUCUUAUACGGAAGCUGGUUACUACCCUAUAGCAACCAACUCCGACGCCUUGUAGUUAGGGAAAUGAGUGGCUUAAAAUUCACUGUUCAUUUAAAGAGUGAAUGAUUGUGAGGGAGGGAAAAUUCUCCAGAUGUGAAAUGAAUGAAGACUGGGGUCAGGUGUUGAAAUGAUGUGAUAUUUCUUGCAGUGUUGUUUCUACUACCAUAACGGAUCAGACACAUUCUACAUUUGUAAAGAGGAAAAGGUGGACAUGCUAGGGUACACAUGCUAGGGGUGCAUUUUUCCAGUGGUGGUGUCCCUGGCGGAGACUGGUGGUUAACACAGGAAAAGACAAGCAGACAGCCAAACAAGGGAGGAGUGGAUCCAAGUGGAUGUCGCCCAUAGAGCUCGAGUGUUUAACUCAUUGACGAUUGAUGAUGUCCUUUAUGAAGCUAACAUGAAGAUGCCUGCAGGU